rnacentral:tRNA from 1 species
GCGGGGUAGCUCAGUUGGUCAGAGCGCACGGCUCAUAAUCGUGAGGUCGCGGGUUCGAGCCCCGCCCCCG